AUUGAACGCUGGCGGCAGGCCUAACACAUGCAAGUCGAACGGUAACAGGAAGAAGCUUGCUUCUUUGCUGACGAGUGGCGGACGGGUGAGUAAUGUCUGGGAAACUGCCUGAUGGAGGGGGAUAACUACUGGAAACGGUAGCUAAUACCGCAUAACGUCGCAAGACCAAAGAGGGGGACCUUCGGGCCUCUUGCCAUCGGAUGUGCCCAGAUGGGAUUAGCUAGUAGGUGGGGUAACGGCUCACCUAGGCGACGAUCCCUAGCUGGUCUGAGAGGAUGACCAGCCACACUGGAACUGAGACACGGUCCAGACUCCUACGGGAGGCAGCAGUGGGGAAUAUUGCACAAUGGGCGCAAGCCUGAUGCAGCCAUGCCGCGUGUAUGAAGAAGGCCUUCGGGUGGUAAAGUACUUUCAGCGGGGAGGAAGGGAGUAAAGUUAAUACCUUUGCUCAUUGACGUUACCCGCAGAAGAAGCACCGGCUAACUCCGUG
rnacentral:rRNA from 1 species